rfam:Clostridium collagenovorans DSM 3089 genome assembly, contig: EJ35DRAFT_scaffold00003.3
UGGGUAGUAUCUGUAAGGAACUGCACCUUAAUUGUUUAUAGUUUUUUUAUUCAUUGCUUACAUCUAUAUAGAGUAAGACAAUAAG